UUAGAGUGUGGGUACUCAUUGGGCCCCAUCAUCCACCCAAAUUAUUCCUUCUUAUCUCUUUGCUGACUCACUAGGACAUGUUACAUCUUUACAUAAAACUUUUCCUACUAUUUACAAGAUUUUUCUUUGAAUAAAUAAAUACUAGCCUAACAAGACAAAGACUUUUCUAGCCUAACAAGACUAGCCUAAAAAUACUACACUUUUCUUGAAAAAAAUACUAGCCUAACAUGACAAACACUUUUCUUGAAAAAUACUAGUCUAAUAAGACUAAAAUACUAGCCUAACAAGACUAAACUAAAAUACUACAGUUUUUGAAAAUUACAAGACUUUUUACGAAAAACUCUUUUAGUCUUCAUUUUGCUCUUUGUCUUCUUCUUCUUUGUCUUUUUCCAUAGUAGGUGGAAGAUAAACUUUAGGAAUAUCUUCUUUUUG
rnacentral:lncRNA from 1 species